ACUCCUGCGGGAGGCAGCAGUGGGGAAUUUUGGACAAUGGGCGAAAGCCUGAUCCAGCAAUGCCGCGUGAGUGAAGAAGGCCUUCGGGUUGUAAAGCUCUUUUGUCAGGGAAGAAACGGUGAGAGCUAAUAUCUCUUGCUAAUGACGGUACCUGAAGAAUAAGCACCGGCUAACUACGUGCCAGCAGCCGCGGUAAUACGUAGGGUGCAAGCGUUAAUCGGAAUUACUGGGCGUAAAGCGUGCGCAGGCGGUUUUGUAAGUCUGAUGUGAAAUCCCCGGGCUCAACCUGGGAAUUGCAUUGGAGACUGCAAGGCUAGAAUCUGGCAGAGGGGGGUAGAAUUCCACGUGUAGCAGUGAAAUGCGUAGAUAUGUGGAGGAACACCGAUGGCGAAGGCAGCCCCCUGGGUCAAGAUUGACGCUCAUGCACGAAAGCGUGGGGAGCAAACAGGAUUAGAAACCCGGGUAGUCCCA
rnacentral:rRNA from 1 species